UCUUGUUGGUUCGUGAGUGUCGCUUGCCUAGUUGUCAUACUUUAUUCGUGUUAUUAUGGGAUAAUUUUAAGUCUAUUUGAUGGCUUCUGUUAAUUGGUAAAAAGCACUUAAAAGGUGAAAUGUUUGUUUUACAGGAACCCAAAGGUCCCACACCAACCAUAGUGUUCAACGGCUCUCCUGAUCUUCUAAAAUCUGAAAGUAUCAACUGUAUAAUGGACAAUGUGAACUUAAUAUGUGGAAGACAUUGACAUCACAGGCUGUGGAAUGACUGUGUCACAGGUCGGAGAAGCGGACCGCCCCUGUCGCGGAUCACGCUCCUCCUAGUUCCACCUUGAGGAGGUCCCAAAGCACCCCAAUGACCAGACAAACCAGAGAUAAGUAAAAUAUAAAAAUAGAAACUUUAUUUAAAUUAUUUAAAACUAAAGUGGGGAAUGGGAAAGGGAAUCUAAAAAUCUCCCUUCUCGCCCUCAGGGGGAGUAUUACGGGGCCAGGGACGUUGGAGGGGUUUCCACGUGACUCCACCUCGAACACCGCUACAGAGCGUAUCUGGCUGGGUUGGGCACACACCGUCGCGGCGGCCCCUGAUGGCAUCCACAAAGGUCCAAGACCCUCCUAAGCUCCCAGCCGUAGCAGAACUACGUAUUUCAGCACCCGAACGACUAACAACCCAGCCGGCAUCUGCAGCGUAUAUCCAACGCAAUCAAACUUCACUCUGACAAGUAACUUCCUAUACACAACCACGCCGUCCUUUCGCCCGGACCAGCCCCGCACUCUUUCCGCCCGCUACCUAGCGGUCGCCGGAUCAGCAGAGCCUGCGGACUCUUCGGAGGCUGGUCUUCGUUGUGCUGCCCAAGGCGGAAGUUUACUUCCAGUAACUUCUACCUUCUCUCUUUAUAUCCUCCUCCAUGGCGUGGCUCGCCCAACCAUCGCUCGCCACGUCACUCACACAGCUGUGCCUUGUUUCAGCGAGUGCGGGGAUUCCCGGGGAACCCGGAAGUGCCGGUGUCUGUACAAACCGGUCCGGGCGGAACCUCUUCACUCUCCUUUUGGUUCCGCCCCGCAUAGUCACUUCGUGACAACUGUUUGCGUUUUUUUUUCUCCUCAAUGUUCAAUACCCUUUUGCCAUUAAGCACACAGUGACUUUAAUUUAUAAAAUAUAUGCUUAAGUUUUAAUACCUGUACAAAACAAAUGUACAAUCAACUUGUGUAAAUUGUCAUUCUAUUUAAUAGAUUGUUCAUGAAUUGUCUUUAAAUGCAUUGUGAUUUCGGUAACACUUUACAAUAAGGUUCAUUAGUUAACAUUAGUUAAUGUAUUAACUAACUUGAACAAACCAUGAGCAAUACAUUUGUUACAGUAUUUAUUCAUCUUUGUUAAUGUCAGUUAAUUCAAAUUUAAGCUUUAAUUGCUUGUUCAUGUUAGUUCAGAGUGCAUUAACUAAUGUUAACAAGAUUUUAAUAAAGUAUAAGUAAUUGUUGAAAUUAACAUUAACAAAGAUUAAUAAAGGCUGUAUAAGUGCAGUUCAUUAUUAGUUCAUGUUAACUAAUGUAGCUAACUAAUGUUAACUAAUGAACCUUAUUGUAAAGUGUUACCGUGAUUUCUUUUCAUCAUUUCAGACACAUGUAAGUUACUAAAAAUUAGUACUGCAUAUACUGUACAGUAUCUAUGCGUAAGGGAAAUAACUUGAACAAAAUUUUUAAUGUAUAAUGUAAUUAAGAGUUUAGCUGUUUAAUACAGAGAUGCAAUUUAUUUAUAUAUAUAUAUAUAUAUAUAUAUAUAUAUAUAUAUAUAUAUAUAUAUAUAUAUAUAUAUAUAUAUAUAUAUAUUAUUUAUGUAUAAACGUAUGUAUGUUUAUUAAAAAGUGAAAAUGCUUAAUGGAAAUAAUUAAAUAACUAAAUGGUUGAAUGUAAUGAGACAUUUUAAAUGUAAACUAAAGUUUUGCUGUCUAAUACAGAAUAAAGAGAUGUGAUUUUAAGUAAUUUUUAUAGAUUUAUAUUUCUGUAUAAUAAAAUUAAUAAAUAAUAAACUUUUAUAAUUUUCUGGA